rnacentral:rRNA from 1 species
GGGCCCGCACAAGCGGAGGAACAUGUGGUUUAAUUCGAUGAUACGCGAGGAACCUUACCCGGGCUUGAAAUGCGCAGGAAUAACCCAGAGACGGGUUAGUCAGCAAUGACCUGCGUGUAGGUGCUGCAUGGUUGUCGUCAGCUCGUGCCGUGAGGUGUCGGCUUAAGUGCCAUAACGAGCGCAACCCUUAUCUUUAGUUACUAACAGGUUCUGCUGAGGACUCUAAAGAGACUGCCGUCGUAAGAUGUGAGGAAGGUGGGGAUGACGUCAAAUCAGCACGGCCCUUACGUCCGGGGCUACACACGUGUUACAAUGGGGGGUACAGCAGGUUGCUAGCAGGUGACUGUAUGCUAAUCCGUAAAACCUCUCUCAGUUCGGAUCGAAGUCUGCAACCCGACUUCGUGAAGCUGGAUUCGCUAGUAAUCGCGCAUCAGCCACGGGCG